UUCCCUUUUAAUUAGGUCUAUUUUUGCUUUUGCUUUGUCUGAGAUCAUGAUUGCUAUGGAAUCCAUUUUCAAAUGUCUGACAAAGUUAUCCAGUCUUAAAAUAUGAUCUGUUACAGCUAAGUAUUUGUUGAUAUCUUCCAAGUGGUUAAGGGAAUUUUCAGGAUUACCUUAUCUAAAGAUUAGCUGUGUCACAAUGGGAACUUUGGCAGACAAAGAAAAGCUUUUUCCAUCCAAUAGAAGUCAUCUCUAAUACUGGACUUUUGGAUGUGUUUGAAAGGGGAGUGGAAAGGGAAUGGUAUUCUUUUAACUGGGGUCUGCCCAACAAACUUCAGAUCAGAACAUACAGAGAAUGUGGUAUGGAGGCAGAAAGAAAUGGCCUUUCAGUCUGAAGACCUGGAUUUAAGUCUUGACUUUUAACAAUAUUUAACAGCCAUGAUGGCAUGGGCAUACAAGUCUGGGCUUCAGUUUCUUCGCCUCUAAAAUGGAGGGCAAUACCAUUUAAUUCACUUAGUUAUUAUGAGAAUCACAUGAUAUAAUGCAUAUUAAGUCUAAAGUUCUAUGCGAACAGUAUUUUUAGUUGUUAUUUUAAAUAAAGGGAGCCUUUUCUCUACAAACUAGGAGAUCUGUGUUCUCAGGCAGGCUCUGUCACUAAUAAGUCAUCUAACUUUGAAUUCCCUUUCUCAAAGCCUUAGUUUCCCUGUCUGUAAAUAGAGGGGAUAGGCUAGAUGGUCUCUAUGUCUUUUGCUUCUAUACCAGGAUCCUAAAAUGAGAAAACUUCUCUUGAAGUUGGAAGAUAGUGGUUUAAACUAAAUUGUAAUUCCCAAAAUAGAGAUGAAACUUAUGGUUCUCAUUACCUCAAACCAACAGAAAUCACAAAUAGGUUCCAGACAAGGUUUAGUUAAAUUCCCCCAUUAGAGCCAUGAUCUAGGCUAGGGAAACACAGAGGCCUUAUAGGUAAGAACAAAGAGAACCUUAAUUCUCUUAAGCUGUUCCCCUUCUGGUGUGGGGGACUGGAUGGCAGAGGGAUACCAAGGGCAAGAGGUGACAAAGACAAUGAGAAAGAAAUUACUCCAAGAAAUCCCCCCAAAGUCCCCAUUACAGGCUGAAAGCUUUCAUUUGCUCCUUCUUUCUCCCUCAGAACUAAAAGCUGCCCUUGCCACCCUGUGCAGACCAGGGGAACCUUCCCCAUAGCCUUUUAUGUGGUUUGGCUAGAGGUAGAGUCUUCCUUUUUAUGAGGCUUGCUCUAGGUUCCCAGAGAAGCCAUGGCUCCUGAGCCAAGCUCAGAUGGUGGGAGAGAGCAACUGUAAGAAGCCAAACUACUCCUACCACAAAGACUUGAGACAUCCCUUUUCCUCUCCUCCUCCACAUGUAUAUCAAUAGGCCUGGGGCCAUAUACUGGACCAAUCAAGCAAGCUGGGAGCCUACUAAAGUUGUGGCCUCACUGAGAACAGUGUCCUUGCUACUGUACCAAUCUACCUUUUAUUAUUUCUCAGUCAUUGUCAAAUGUUGCCAUUAAGAAUGCAGGCACAGUUGGAAUCCUCUCAAGUUGGGUAUGUGUCCUUUGAAGACCAGGGUGCCAUACAUCAGAGGAACCAGAAUUACUGUUCCCCUUUCCUGAAGAACAGAACCACUGGUUGAGUACUCAGCUCUUGCUGAAAGAAAAAAAAAAAGAUAUGAGACCCAGAACUUUGUUGUUGUUGAAUUGUUUUCCGGUAUGUCCAACUCUUUGUGAUCCAAUUUGGGACACUGGAGUGGUUUGCCAUUUCCUUCUCCAACUCAUUUUAUAGAUGAAGAAACUGAGGCAAACAAGGUUAACUGGUCUCUAUACUUGGCUUGAACUUCUCUAGUGAUGGGAAACUCAGUACUUUUUGAGGCUGCCCAUUCUACUUUUGGAUAGCUCUACUCAUUAAGAAGCUUAUCCUUUUAUCAAGUCUAACAUGAUAUCUUCAGAGUUUUUGUCCUUUCUCUUGGCUCUACCAACUGGGCUAAACUAAGUCUAAUUCUUAUUUCACUUAACAGCCCUUCAAAUACUUAAAGGCAAUAACUAAAGGACUAUCACUUAUGUUUUGGACACUUAAGAUUCUAUUAAUGCAAUUAAUGAUUGAAUUUGAUCUUUUGACUAUCACAUCACUCUUUAUGACCUCAGGUACUCAGUAAUAGAGAGCAAAGGAAAGUCAGGGACAGUACUAUUGACUGCUCAGGUUAAUUCCCAAGGCUGCCUCCUAUAAGCAUUAUUCUCUCCCUAUCCACCUCACCCCAUGUUUUUUUUUAAGAAGGAAUCUAUUCUCUUCUCUCCAGGGCACAGUUACAGUUAUAUCCAGGAGAAGCAAAGCAAUAUGUUAAGCAGAUGUCCUAAGUAAGCUUAAAAGAUGAAACCAGGAUACCAUCUGUACCUCAGUACCCUGGGCUAAAUGUUUUCCUUUUCUUUUUUAAUAUAACAUAAUUUUCAGGAUCCUCAACUGACCACACGCAUAUACUCAUACACAGAUGCACUGCUCCAGGCACAUUCACUUCCAAGAAGUGAGUUUCCAACAUAGGAAGAUCUAUGUGAAUGUGUGUCCACUAUGUAACCUGCUUUGUAGCACAGUUGGACCAAGCCAGCAUGUUUAAGUCUGGAUUUCCAGAUAAUGGGUAUUCAUUUUACAAAAAGGAUUGACCCCAAGGGGUCCAUUAAAUAGAAACCUCCUCUGGUGCAUUUAAAAUAGGAUUCAGUUCACAAAAAAAAAAAUUCAUUCGAUCCAACUUAAGGAGAGAGUCAAACAUUCCUGGGAAACUGGAAUAAAGUGAUAGGAAGAUUGGAAAGAGAGCAUCACAGAGGCACAUGGGAAGGAAGAGAAAUAUAACUAAUGGCAUGAUUUAGGGGGACUAAAAUUUCCGACUAUCUUUUAUUGGGACAAUUGAGACAUCAUGAGUUCCAGAGCAGCCUGUGCAAGUUUCUUUCAUUCCUUUAAGUAGUGACACUUCCAUGCUUUUCUUUCUCCUUUUUGUUUUUACCCUAAGAAGACACAUGAAAUACUGACCCAAUAGAAGCUCAGUCCUCAGAGAACAAAGACCAUUUCAACAAACAAUGGAAACUGCCUGGUGAAAAAAAAAACAAGCACAUAGAAAUUUCAUGGCUA